AGAUUGAACGCUGGCGGCAUGCUUUACACAUGCAAGUCGAGCGGCAGCGCGGGGGCAACCCUGGCGGCGAGCGGCGAACGGGUGAGUAAUACAUCGGAACGUGUCCCGUAGUGGGGGAUAGCUCGGCGAAAGCCGGAUUAAUACCGCAUAUGCUCUACGGAGGAAAGCGGGGGAUCCGCAAGGACCUCGCGCUAUGGGAGCGGCCGAUGUCCGAUUAGCUUGUUGGUGGGGUAACGGCUCACCAAGGCGACGAUCGGUA
rnacentral:rRNA from 1 species